AUGGGAAUGGAGGUCGCCGGAGCUGAAGCUGCACCAGCACAGGUUAAAGUAGCUGAUGAGGAAGUGACCCUUUUUCAAGACAAGGAAAGCCAAGCAACUGCAAAGGAGCGGGAGGAAGCAGCUGUUUUUGGUUCAGACAAUGGCAAAGCUGCGGCAAAUGACAUGGCACCUCCAAAGGACGCAGCGGAGGAGUGGCCUGAACCUAAGCAAACUUAUACCUUCUACUUUGUCAAGAUCCGCUCAUUUGAGGACCCUAAGCUGAGAGCAAAACUUGAGCAGGCUGAGAAGGACUUCCAAAAUAAGAUCCAAGCUCGGGCCAAGAUUAUUGAUGCUAUAAAAGCUAAGAAGACUGAGCGUGCUGCUGUUCUCGCGGAGCUAAGGCCAUUGAGUGCUGAGAACAGGCAGUACAAUGAAGCUUUUAAUGAGAAGUUAGAGGAGAUGAAACCUUACAGAAAUCGUUUAGGCAAGUUCCGUGAUGAAAAUAAUGCUAUGCGGGCGGAGAGUGCAGGCUUGUGCUCUUCACUCGAAGAGCUUGAGCAUGAGAUCAAGAGGUUGAAUCACCGCAUAAGUCAUGAGAGCAUAUCUUUAGAUGAGGAGAAGCGGCUGAUCAAAGAAAUUAAGACCCUUGAAAAAACCAGACCGAAGGUCAGUUCCAAUGCUGCUAAACGAGCUAAAAUGCAAGAUACAGUGGUUGAAAGAGAUGCCAUACAGGAUCAGGUGAAAAUCAUCGGGGAUGGUAUAGAUGGAGUAAAGAAGGAGCGACAAGCAGUCAGGUCUAAGAUUAAGGUCCUGGACGAUGAGAUGAGGGUUGUUGAUGGCGAGAUUGCUUUGCUUCAAGAAGAUUUAAAUGCAGCUACCGCCAGAAAGGAUAAAGCAUACGAGUCAUUGACCGAAUUGAGAAAAGCGCGUGAUCUUGCCAAUGCAUCCUUCCAUCAAAACCGCAUAGUUCUGAACAGAGCCAGGGAUCAUUCUUCUAGGAAUGAGGUGGAAGAAUUGCAAGAGCUCCACAAGACUGAGGUUGAGAAGUUCAUGACACAAUGGUGCAGCAGCAAGACCUUUAGAGAGGACUAUGAGAAGAGGAUCCUCACUUCCCUCAAUGGACGGCAGCUGACCCGAGAUGGCCGGAUGAGGAAUCCUGAUGAGAAGCCCAUAUUUAUCGAAACACAGCAGCCAGCAGCACCUGUGCAACAGGAGCCUAUCCCAUCAAAAGCGCCUUUGAAACAAGCAAAGGAAGCUGCUGCUCCUCAAGUCGUCGCUCCCAAAGAAGAGCCCCUUGCAAAAGCAUCUGCCAAGUCAGCUAAGGUAAAAGCUGCUGUGGAUGCUGAUGAUGAUGCCUAUGAGGCUGAGCCUCCAAAGGAGAAGCCCAAGCCUAAAGAGGUUGAUGUAGCAAAGUUGAAAGAGAUCAAGAGACAGGAGGAAAUCGAGAAGAAUAGACUUGCUUUGGAAAGGAAGAAGAAGCAGGCUGAGAAGCAAGCGGCGAAGGCUGCAGCCCGAGCACAAAAGGAAGCUGAGAAGAAGCUUAAGAAAGAGGAGAAGAAAACCAAGAAGAAAACUGAGGCAGAUACGGACGAGCCAACUGACUCAGACACCAAGUCUGAUGAAGCAGCAGAAACCCAAGCAGAGGAUGAGUUCACUCCAGUUUCUGUGGUAAACAAAGAACAGAAGCAGAACACACGGACCAGGAAUGUAGUCACCAAGACCAAGGCCCCGCUGCCAAAGGCGAUCCUGAAGAGGAAGAAAGCCCAGUCGUACCGGUCAUGGGCCACCCCAGCCGUGAUGAUAUCCGCCGUCACCGUGCUCGUCGCCCUGCUUGCGGCGCUGGGCUACUACCAGUACUACCGCCCGGCGAGCACCAGCAACUGA
rnacentral:rRNA from 1 species